rnacentral:rRNA from 1 species
GAGCACGUAGGUGGGUUUGUAAGUCAGAUGUGAAAGCCUUCUGUUCAACGGGAGAAUUGCAUCUGAAACUGCUAAUCUUGAGUAUAGGAGGGGAGAAUGGAACUUCUGGUGGAGCGGUGAAAUGCGUAGAUAUCAGAAGGAACGCCGGCGGCGAAAGCGAUUCUCUGGCCUAUUACUGACACUCAGUGUGCGAAAGCUAGGGGAGCAAACGGGAUUAGAUACCCCGGUAGUCCUAGCCGUAAACGAUGGGCACUAAGUAGAGGGGAUUACCUAUGUUCUCUCUGCCGUAGCUAACGCAUUAAGUGCCCCGCCUGGGGAGUACGGCCGCAAGGCUAAAACUCAAAAGAAUUGACGGGGGCUCGCACAAGCGGUGGAGCAUGUGGCUUAAUUCGAUGCAACGCGAAAAACCUUACCGGGGCUUGACAUGAUAGAAGUAGGAACCUGAAAGGGGGACGAACGGUAUCCAGUCCGUAGCUAUUACAGGUGUUGCAUGGCUGUCGUCAGCUCGUGUCGUGAGACGUUGGGUUAAGUCCCCUAACGAGCGAAACCCUUGUUUUUAGUUACCAGCGGGUUAUGCCGGGUACUCUAGAAAGACUGCCGUCGUCAAGACGGAGGAAGGUGGGGAUGACGUCAAGUCAUCAUGGCCCUUAUGCCCCGGGCUGCACACGUGCUACAAUGGUCGGUACAGACGGAAGCGAAGCCGAGAGGUGAAGCGAAUCC